rfam:Dipodomys ordii contig_51313, whole genome shotgun sequence.
GGGAAGGUAGCUCAGUGGUAGAGUGCUUGCCUUGCAUGCAUGAGGUCCUGGGUUCGAUUCCUCAGCACCA